rnacentral:rRNA from 1 species
UGAGCAGCAAUAGCUCAAAUUUGAAAUCUGGCGUCUUCGACGUCCGAGUUGUAAUUUGUANAGGAUGCUUCUGAAUAACCACCGACCUAAGUUCCUUGGAACAGGACGUCAUAAAGGGAGAGAAUCCCGUAUGCGGUCAGAAAGGUGCUCUAUACGGAGCUCCUUCGACGAGUCGAGUUGUUUGGGAAUGCUUUUCUAAAUGGGAGGUAAAUUUCUUCUAAAGUUAAAUAUUGGCCACANACCGAUAGCGCACAAGUAGAGUGAUCGAAAGAUGAANAGCACUUUGGAAAGAGAGUUAAAAAUCACGUGAAAUUGUUAAAAGGGAAGGGAUUGCAACCAGACUUGCUCGCNUNUNCCNCCGGUCUUCUGACCGGUCUACUCGCCGCGUUGC